rnacentral:rRNA from 1 species
ACCUACGGGUGGCUGCAGUAAGGAAUAUUGGACAAUGCCCGCAAGGGUGAUCCAGCCAUCCCGCGUGCAGGAAGACUGCCCUAUGGGUUGUAAACUGCUUUUAUCAGGGAAGAAACCCCUUGACUUGUUAAGGGUUGACGGUACCUGAUGAAUAAGCACCGGCUAACUCCGUGCCAGCAGCCGCGGUAAUACGGAGGGUGCAAGCGUUAUCCGGAAUCACUGGGUUUAAAGGGUGCGUAGGCGGCUUAAUAAGUCAGAGGUGAAAGACUACAGCUUAACUGUGGCACUGCCUUUGAUACUGUUGAGCUGGAAUCAGGUUGAAGUUAGUGGAAUGCGGCAUGUAGCGGUGAAAUGCAUAGAUAUGUCGUAGAACACCGAUUGCGAAGGCAGCUAACUGGGCUUGAAUUGACGCUGAGGCACGAAAGCGUGGGGAUCGAACAGGAUUAGAUACCCGUGUAGUCC